UUUGGGGAUCCCCAGGUCAAUCUUGGGGUCCCAGGUGAAUUUUGGGGAUCCCCAGGUGAAUUUUGGGGUCCCCAGGUGAAUUUUGGGGAUCCCCAGGUGAAUUUUGGGGUCCCCAGGUCAAUCUUGGGGUCCCCAAGUUGAACUCUGGGGUCCCCAGGUUGGAUUUUGGGGAUCCCAAGGUGAAUUUUGGGGUCCCCAGGUGAAUUUCGGGGUCCCCAGGUUGGAUUUUGGGGAAUUUUGGGGUCCCCAGGUUGGAUUUCGGUGUCCCCAGGUUGGGUUUUGGGGGAUUUUGGGGUCCCCAGUUGGAUUUUGGGGAUCCCCAGGUCAAUUUCAGGGUCCCCAGGUCAAUGUUGGGGUUCCCUGUGUGGAUUUUGGGGUCCCCAGGUUGGAUUUUGGGGGAAUUUUGGGGUCCCCGUGUGGAUUUUGGGGCAUUUUGGUGUCCCCAGGCUGAAUUUUGGUGUCUCCAGGGUGGAUUUCGAGGUCCCCAGGUUGAGUUUUGGGGAUUUUUGUGUCUCCAGGAUGAGUUUUGGGGGAUUUUGGGGUCCCCAAGUUGGAUUUUGGGUUCCCCAAGUUGGAUUUUGGGGAAUUUUGGUGUCCCCAGGGUGGAUUUUGGGGUCCCCACGAUGGAUUUUGGGGCAUUUUGGUGUCCCCAGGCUGAAUUUUGGUGUCCCCAGGCUGAAUUUUGGGGUUCCCAGGUUGGAUUUUGGGUUCCCCGGGUUGGAUUUUGGGGGAUUUUGGGGUCCCCAGUUGGAUUUUGGGUUCCCCAAGUUGGAUUUUGGGGGAUUUUGGUGUCCCCAGGUUGAAUUUUGGUGUCCCCAGGGUGGAUUUCGGGGUCCCCACGAUGGAUUUUGGGGGAUUUCGGUGUCCCUGGGUUGGAUUUCGGGGGAUUUCGGUGUCCCCAGGAUGAAUUUCAAGGUCCCCAGGGUGGAUUUUGGGGAAUUUUGGGUGUCCCCACGGUGGAUUUUGGGGUCCCCACGGUGGAUUUUGGGGGAUUUCAGUGUCCCUGGGUU